CGUGAGCCAACGUGCCUGGCCUGUUAGUGAGUUUAUCUUAAUAUUUAUUUAAAAUAAAAAAGAUAAAAUACAUGACUUUGGACAAAUAUAUCUCUGCCUGACUUGCAAAGUUAGUAAAAAGAAAACAAACUGCGUGGGUUAGACAUUGGCCUGUCUGUAUUUGAUGUAACUCCUUUAUUUUCCAAUGCUUCUUAGGCAUUUGGACUUCAGUGAUGCAUGAGAAGAGAAAUGUGCUACACUGCCAUGAAUUCCAAAUUAGGAGAACAAAAUAUCCAUUCAAAAGUACAGAGACUUCCAUUCUCCUGUUACAGGAUCGUAGCACUCAGUGUAUGGAAGAUUAAAUCCUCCAACUCGCUCACAUCCUCCAACGACAACUAUCACCUCAGAAUAGCCAGAAAAUGUUGUCUGGCUACAUCAGAGAUUAUGUCUCCCCAAGAGAAGGAGAGAUUCAUUCUCUCUGACUGACUGAACUUGUAAUAUGUCAACCCCAAACCUAUGUGUUUCUGCCACAUAUAUUAUUCUGCCAGACUAAUGGGAGGGAAUGAUGCAGACAUGCAGAAAUUAACAGUGUAUGUAUGCAAAGAUAAUGUACAAGAAUAUUCACUAAGUAUCACUUGCAAUGGCAAAAAAAUGAAUUAGAAGCAACCUAAAUAUCCAUAAAGAGAUUGAUUAAAUAAAAUAAAUUAUGGUAUAUCCAUAAAUAGGAUACCAUAUAGCUCUUUCUUUGGUUUUAUCUUGCUAACAUGUUUCUUUUAGGUAUUUAAUGCAUUGUUUUAUUUGAUAAUCAAAACACCUAUAGAUAUAUGAUAUAGUUAUGUUUUCUGUUAGAAAAAUGGUUUUGGUUAUUUAUUUAUUGAGAUGGAGUCUCGCUCUGUCACCCAGGAUUGAGUGCAUGCCCCUCCUUUCAGGAGGCAGCUUGGAAAUUGCUCUCCUGGGAACUCUCCUUUCCCCCCAUUUCCCCCUGGGCUAAGUAUCUUCCUUCUAUCUUCCCACAGUAGCCUGUCUUUACCUCUUUCCCAGCAGUUGUUACACUAAUUGUCCAGGUUUGUUGUAUUUUAUUUUAUUAUUUUUUGGAGACAGGUUCUUGCUCUGUUGCCCAGGCUGGAGUGCAGUGCCAUGAUCUUGGCUCACUGAAACCUUG
rnacentral:lncRNA from 10 species